UCUGUUUCUCUGCAUGCUUUGUUAGCCCCCUUUCAUGCUGUUCUUCAAUGGUCAGGACUCUCCCAGGACCACUACAUAGCAGGUAUUAUUUGGGUGGUGGAUCAUUCUCAGCACUGCAGUGACACUUACAUGGUGGACACCUCACUGUCACUGCUGGACUGAGAAUAGUCCACCAACCAAAAAAAUACCCAGCCAACAGCGCCCCGUGGACAGCGUCCUGUGAGCACUGAUGAAGGUCUAGAAGAUGACCAACUCAAACAGCAGCAAUAGAUGAGCGAUCGUCUUCUCGGACUUUACAUCUACAAGGUGAAGCAACUAGUGCUGAGAAUGAUCCACCACCUGCUCUGUGGUGGUUCUGUGGGGGUCCUGACCAUUGAAGAACAGGGUGAAAGCAGGGUAAAACAGUAUGUAGAAAAACAGAUGGACUGCAGUCAGUAAUUGUAGAACUACAAAGUGCUUCUAUAUGGUAAGUGGAGCUGAUAAAAUAGACAGUUAGUGUAGAAACAAGGAGGUGGUGAAUAAUGAGAGCCUGUAACUAUACAGAUGCUAUUUUAAGGGACCCAGUAGUUCAUGAUCGGUCGGACUCUAUCAUGAGCAGGAACACAUUGUUGCAGACUUUUUUUUAGUAUGUUUUCAAAUACUCAGGUUUUACACCUCAGUCACUAGAGAUAAUAUAAAUAAUGAAAUCAUGUUUUUGUCUGAUGCACAAAGCAUCAUGGGAAAGUAUAUUUGUGUCAAGGAUAUGAUUUAUGGUUGUAUUUCUAUGUGCCAUUUCAUAUCAUUGCCCUACUUAGGAUCAAGGUAUUAGUAGUUUUCAGUUAGGCCUAUAUUUCAGUGCUAACUGAUUAUUUAAUAGGAGUUGUAGAACUUCGUGGUGCCAUUUGUCAUAAAACUCCACUGACUUCUGAAUCUUCCAGAUUCACUUUAAUCACUUACAUAUAUCUUAAAUACAGAAUAUUUAUUUUUGUUCGUAUAAUCAAUGUUUCUCUUUUUCAAGUAGAGAACUAAGCAGAUACUCUUUAUUUGUAGAUGUUCUUGCCCUCACUUUCUGGAACUCAAUAAACACAAUGUAAAUGUUUGAA